AUUGAACGCUGGCGGCAGGCCUAACACAUGCAAGUCGAGCGCGAAAGUCUUCGGAUGAGUAAAGCGGCGAACGGGUGAGUAAUGCAUGGGAAUCUGCCUGGUAGUGGGGGACAACGUCUCGAAAGGGACGCUAAUACCGCAUACGCCCUACGGGGAAAGGGGGGAGUCUUCGGACCUCUCGCUAUCAGAUGAGCCCAUGUCAGAUUAGCUAGUUGGUAGGGUAAAGGCCUACCAAGGCGACGAUCUGUAACUGGUCUGAGAGGAUGAUCAGUCACACUGGAACUGAGACACGGUCCAGACUCCUACGGGAGGCAGCAGUGGGGGAAUAUUGGACAAUAGGGCGCAAGCCUGAUCCAGCCAUGCCGCGUGUGUGAAGAAGGCCCUGGGUUGUAAAGCACUUUUAGUGGGAGAAAGGUCUGGAACCUAA
rnacentral:rRNA from 1 species